rnacentral:tRNA from 1 species
GCCUGGGUGGCUCAGUCGGUUAAGUGUCUGACUUCUGCUCAGGUCAUGAUCUCACAGUUUGUGGGUUUGGGUCCCAUGUCGGGCU